AGUCCUGAGGUGUUUACACGCCGGGUUGCAAACUCGGAAUUGAGAUUUAUAGAAUCCCCCGGACUU
rnacentral:tRNA from 1 species